GGAAGAAAAAGACAAAACAACUUAGUUUGAAACAAAACAUGUUCCUCUUUUUGAUCCCUCUCUCUUUUUCUUUGCUUUGCUCAUUUCCUUGACUCUUCAUUUGAGACCUUUCAUCAUGACUUGGUCGUCACCCUCCUCUGCCCUUUCUCUUUCUCCACAUAUUUUCUUCACUAUAAAUUUGGUUCAUUCUAAGUCUUUUCAUGUCCAAACAUUUCAUCACUUUUCUCGAAUCUCUAAAUUCUCUGAAACUCUCUUUGAUUCUGUGUUUUAAUCUUUACAUCAAUGAAGAUACCUGGAGAUGAACUAUUUGGUCAAUGAAGUAAGCUAGUAUAUGUGAUGGACCUCUUCUCUACGGCCUGUGGUGAUCAAUGUAUUUUUCUUAGAGAAUUGCUAAAAUAGAGUUUCUUAGAGAAUUGUAAUUUGUUCUUUUGGUUUUGUGUCAGUAGAUUUCUAAAUGACUUGUGCUAUUAAUUCAAUAGGUUUCUUUUGUUAUGUUUGUUUAUUUAAUAUGUGUCUAUAUUUUUUUGUUUAAUAAGUGUCCAUCAAAAGGUACAAAUCAAUUUUCAAAAGAAAUGUUCAUUGGGAGAUCAAGAGAAUCUUAGGAAUUAUAAGUGAACAGAGAAAGUUUGUAAAAUAUUUUAUUUACUUGCAAAAAUAAAAAUGAAAGAUACGUUACUUUAUU